rnacentral:rRNA from 1 species
UUGGUGUGAAUUGCAGAAUCUCAUGAACCAUCAAGUCUUUGAAUGUAAGUUGCGCCUGAGGCCUUGGCCGAGGGCACGUCUGCAUGGGUGUCACAC